rnacentral:rRNA from 1 species
UACGUAGGGUGCAAGCGUUAAUCGGAAUUACUGGGCGUAAAGCGUGCGCAGGCGGUGAUGUAAGACAGGUGUGAAAUCCCCGGGCUUAACCUGGGAACUGCGUUUGAAACUACAAGGCUAGAGUGUGGCAGAGGGGGGUGGAAUUCCACGUGUAGCAGUGAAAUGCGUAGAGAUGUGGAGGAACACCGAUGGCGAAGGCAGCCCCCUGGGUUAACACUGACGCUCAGGCACGAAAGCGUGGGGAGCGAACGGG